rnacentral:rRNA from 1 species
UACGGAGGGGGCUAGCGUUAUUCGGAAUUAUUGGGCCUAAAGCAUCCGUAGCCGGUUUUACAAGUCCUCCGUUAAAUCCAGCUGCUUAACAGAUGGGCUGCGGAGGAUACUAUAAGACUAGGAGGCAGGAGAGGCAAGCGGUACUCAGUGGGUAGGGGUAAAAUCCGUUGAUCCAUUGAAGACCACCAGUGGCGAAGGCGGCUUGCCAGAAUGCGCUCGACGGUGAGGGAUGAAAGCUGGGGGAGCAAACCGG